rnacentral:sRNA from 1 species
GCUGGGCAUGGUAGCUUAUGCCUAUAAUCCCAGCAACUCAGGAGGUUGAGGCAGGAGGAUCACAAGUCCAAGGCCAGCCUCAGCAACUUAGCAAGACCCUGUCUCAA